AUAGAAAGUCAUUUCCCAUCAUUUCCCUCAAGGUUCCUAUGGAUAGAUAUUAAAGGUUCAGUGCUUAAAUUUAACAUUGCAAAAUCCAGCUAAAAUUGAAAUUUUUAUGUAGUGAGUUCAAUCUCAUCACAGAAGUUUGUAAAUGGGAGGAACCUUAGAAAUCCUUUAGUCCAGCACUUUCAUUUAAGCUUCCACGAAGAAACUGACAUAAGACCUACAAUGGCUCACUCAAGGUCAUCCAGGCUAUCGAUGCCAUUAUACAUCUUUUUCAAAGGGCUUCAUUUUCCAUCUAAACAAAUUAUCUACAUCAGAAUCCACCUAUUUACAUAGGGCUUAUCUUUCUGAUAUUGCCUUUGCAAUAUCCUUGUUAUAAAGAGGAAGGAACUGAAAACAAACAAAACAAAACAAGGUUGUCUUGUCCAGGGACAUAGAGGAAUUGGUAAAAAAGACAAUUAGUACACAAAGUGAUGGGGUUUCCUAUUUGUAGUGUAGCCUUGUAGUCACACUGUGUUCUCCGAAUGCCACAAUGCUAACCCAAAAUUACUUGUCCUUCCUGGGCCUGGAUUCCAUUCAAUUUUAUGCCUUGUUUAGUCUAAAUGAUUUCCCCAGCUUCGACAUGUAUUUAUUUAUUUAUUUAUUUAUUUAUUUAUGCGUUUCAUUUUAGAAGUAUACUUAAAUCUACUCUUUACUCGAGUUUGUCUUAGUUCUAGUGCUGAGGAAUGAAGAUUCUGGGUAAAAGAAAUCAAGAUGAUGUUUUUUUUUUCUAGGCUUUACAUUUCAAGGAUUGUUUCUCAAAUGGCAACUGGCAGUCUACUCCUCAAAUGAUGACGUUUUCCACAGGAAUUACAAUUUAAUUGGAAUAUUUUGUUUUCAAUGGGAAGCAAAGAUUUCUUUCCAAGAGGAUCAGUUUGAUAAUGUUUUACCAGCUAGUGCUACGAGACCAAAUAUAAACCAGUUCUGAGAAACAGGAAGUGAACUGACUGGUCUAGUCUGAGUGUCCCUGGCAGUGACGCAAAUACAGAAAUCAAAUUAGGAAAACAAGAUAUGUGGGUGUGAGGCAAUCGAUAAUAAUCCAGGAUGCUACAACAUAAGCAAGAAUGCCUUUAACCCGAUGCCAUUCAUUUUAAUAACACCCUGAGCAGUUUGAUUUCCACGGAACACGCUGGUGAUUAGAGAGCAGCAGGAGCUUGGGUUCCCUAGCAACAGCAUGUGCUUUUGAGACAGUCAUUAGCCUUUCAGUUAAUCCCAUCAACCCCUUACCUCUAAAUGUAUGACUGACAUAAAAAAAAUGAUGUUUUAGAAAGUGCUUUGAAAUUUCCAGGAGUGCAAUGGAAGGGAAUAAUCAUAAUUAAAAAGUUGUCUGGAGAACUACACUCCAGUGAAGGAAGUAAUGUUCCUACGUGCCAAGCCUGUCCGUAUAUUUCCCUGCUCUCAGUUGUAGGUUUCUGAAUCCCCUGUGGCAAAGGGCAAGGGAGGUGAAAUUGUUCAGAGUUUCAGGCAGUCUUCUCACCUAAAGUGAGUAGUAUUGCAAUGUCUCUUGGAAUCAUGGCUCUGAAGAUGAGGAGAGAAGCGGGAUGGGCAGUUUGUGUGGUGAGGAGGCUGGCUGCAGGUAGGCUGGGAGGGAAUGUCACACAUAGUUUUCUUUCUCCUUUAAGCCGAAUGAGGUAUGCUGGUCAAAGGAACUUGGGGAAGGAGGAUGGUGAGGGGAAUGAAGUUCUUCUUCCUAUUGAUUGUUUUGUUGCACCAGAGGCUGUUUGUCCAAGGCCACUGGCCAAGAGCAUUAUUUUCGUGGCUAAAGUGAGGUUGGGCAGGUUUCCCAUCCCUUUCACUAGUUUUGAACAAGACAACCCAGAAAGCGCAGCAAGGCUCUGGGAAUAUGAUGUGGGUUGGCUUUUCCUACUCAGCUGCACCUUAAAGCGCCAGGCCGAUGGGCUGAUACUUCUCAAACCCUGAAUCAUUGCCUCCAGCUCUGUCCUGGGUUCAGGAUGCACCACUCCACCCUCUGUGUAGCUUGGGGUCAACUUCGGGGCGUCACUCCAAUAGUAAUUAUUGCUGCGUUUGGCUGGACAUCCUUAUUACGGCCUGGGUCCCUCUCAGCUGGAAACUGGGCUCCUUCAGUUUGGCUGGGGUGACUUCUAGCACUUCCCGCCGCCCCACCUUACCCCCCUGCGCGCUCCCUUCCCAAGGCGACCACCUGCACCGCCCCACUUACCAUCUGCCCCGCGGGGAGGGCCCCCCGGGCUAGCGGAGCCCUCCCUGCUCCCGGGCGGCUCUGGAGGAGCUCGGUGUUUGCCUCUAGCCCUUCGCUACCGGAGGAUCAGGUUCCUCCCCUCCUCCCCCUCCAGCUCCGGCCGCCGCCGCCGCCGCCGCCGCCUCCUUCUUGCAUGACACAGCAGAACCGCAGCUGCUGCAGCAAUUUCAAGCCAUCCGCCCAGGAAGCGCCGCAACCGGGACUCGGGAGGGGUGGAGGGGGCGAGGCAGAGGCCGCGGCCCCAGGGGAUCCUUGGCCCCACUGUGCACCACACACUCCUUUCCCAGCCCAGGGGCACGCGAACAAAAUGAGGCUCAAGCUGACCAGGCCGAGCCGGAGGAACGCUGGGGCUUGGCAGCAGAAGGGAUGGGACCAGAGAGAAGGGUGUGGAGGAGACCCCAGUGAGGGCCAGGACAUUUCAGGUAAAGAGAGGUAAGAAGAGGCCCAGAAGUCAAGGGCCAGACUGUGAAGGUGAUUAGAGGUCAAAAGAGGUAAGGAGGUAGAGUUGCAAAGAAGAGAGGCCGAGCUGGGAAGGGCGUGGGGGUGGGGGUAGCUGCAGGGGAGGGUGGGGGGUACAGUCUUUGGGGAGGCCCGAGCUGAGCCCCCAGGCAGAAAAGGGGCUGAGUUGGGAGGCAAGGGAGGUAGGAGGAAAGGGAUGAAAAGAAUUAGGCAUGAGAUAGGAAGGUAAAACUUGGGAGAGAUAUUAUAGAAUUAGAAGGGUUGGAAUGGAGCUCAUUCAUCAUGGCUGAUGAAGUAAACUGAUGAGGUGGAGAGAGACAGAGUCAAGGCAAGGCCAAACGAAAAGAUCUUCCAUCCCACUCUUCAGUUUCUUGCGAAGUUUUUCUUGAUUCCGCCAAUCCACACAGUUUCCUUUAUAAAAUGGAAAAGCAUGAACUAAAAAACCCAGAAAUAGCUAUCUGGCUUAGAUUUACAGGAUAAAAUCUCCAUGUCUGUAAAAACUUUAAGGCAGAAAUUUGGGAUUUAUGGUACAAACCCUUUAAGGGACUGUGAGUCAGUAAUACCCACAGCACUCAACAUUGUGAGUUUCCACACAUCCCUGGACUUGAGUGAGUCUUUCCAAGUGUUUGUUAAUGGUACAAAUGAUGACAAAAUUAGUGGUUCAAAAAUAUUAAAGUGCACAUGCUUUUUGCUUUCUCUAUGUAUACAGAGAUUACAUAUAUGUAUACUUUCUAGCGUCUAGCAAGUAUGGUAUGGCUAGGGAUAAUUAUGUUUUUCUGAUUAUUUUGUUUCCCAUCAAACACCCCACGAAUUUUACAGCAGACCGCCUUCUUGUCACCAUUUGAAAGAAUGUGGUCAGAAAAGUAAUGCAAAAACUGCCACUUUGGUUUUGUCUGUACCUUCCAGGUCAUAUCUCCGUACCUCACUUCCUGACACAAACAAGUUUUCACUGUUGUCAGCAACAAAGCCCUAAUAUAGCUGCGGAAGAGAAAAACUGCAUUGCAUUUUGCCUCCUGCAAGCAUCAUCAACAGUUACUGGAGGAACGUAAUUCCAGAAAGCUUGAAAGCCGUGGUGAUGGUAAUUAUGUAUCAAAUGCCUGGUUCUAUUUCUGUUAUUAUUGUUUUGUCAUUUCUGUUUUCCCAGCGAUCUGACUGAACUCGCAGAGGGACAAAUCCAGUUUUUCUUUUUGACUUUUGUCAAACUAAAUCAGGCCUGAUAGAAAACUCAUUGCUCUCCGGGGAAACAAAGUAGGAGCCACGAAAUGUCAUUUUAACAGAGCGUGGGUUUGGUGACUGUAGGAAAGGAUUUGAGGACGCUCCUUCUGUUCGGCUUCCUAUGUCAUGAGCACAGGCUCCACGCACGCACAGACACCACGGCUCCCGGAUGCUGUGGCUCCCCGAUCGGGGCUCCUGCAGCGCCAGAAGCCCCUCCGGGAUGCUUCGAGGGGCUCCCGGUGGGUGGAGGUACGGACGCCGCUGCGGCCGCCGCCGCCAGUCCUGCUGCUGUUGUUGCUGCUGCAGUCACGUGGGAGCCCCUUUAAGUUUCCAUAGAGAGGCCUCUCUGGUGUCACAUGAUGGACAUGAUAUAAUGAAACAACAUUGUGGAGAGGAAAGCAUUAGGGGAGCCCACGGCUACAAAAACAAGUGAGUGAGAAGAGGUGGGAGGAAGAGAAACUACGCCACCUCCCCUGCAGCCGAGUGCACGCAGCAGCCUGGCGUGACAAGUGGGCGACGCCGGGGGGCAGGGAGCCGGGGUCCUUGGCCCUGGCCGGGGACCCCACCGCCCACCGCGCGGAGGACAACUUUUAGCCGGCAGCCCAGACCAGCGCGGCACCUGUCUCCGGAGUCUCCACCGCUCCUCCCGAUUCAUCCCAGGGAAAUUCUCAAGAAUACGCUCUACAAAUCUACGUGCGCAUCAUUUUCACCUCGCGUCGCGCCCGGGAGGAAGGAACGAGGCAAGGAGCUAAAGCAGCGUGCGUUCAGCCCUGGGGCAUUUUAUUAAUGCUUUUACGAGUUAGAAGAGUUGGGAUAAUUUGCCAUCUGGAGUUUCUCUGCCUUGCUGAUCUGAGCUCAGACCUGCCAAUUUACCAGAGAUAAUUGAUAACACCCUGUAACAGCUGAGAGGAAAAUGGAAGAAACGGAGAUACUUUUAGUGAAGCAGAAUAAACCACUGAACAGUCUGUUUCAUCUUCAUAAAAACGCUGCUUUCAGUGCACUGGAUUUAUUUUACAACCCACUAAUGGAUUACCCUACAGUUUGAAAAACAUUGCGUUAGACCAGUUUGACUGUUGUCAAGAACCAAAAAAGGAAAAAUGAGGAAGCUGUGAGUACCAGUGGAAGGAACGAGCCAGGAAGAGGGACUGGAACCAUCUCAGAAGCCAUGCCCCUCAGGCUGGAACUUGCCCUGUCUCCUCGCAGAUGAGGUAGGAGGCUCAGCACGGGCUGGUGGGAGCAGCCCACAGCAGCAGUGAGGGUCAGUGGGCCUGUGAGUUAAGAAGAAGGUGGCACAGAGCGAGGGUCUCUGGAUCCUGACUGUUUGACUUUUCCAUGAUUAGGAUAAGUAGCCAGGGCUUGGCUAGUUGGAGAGUUACUCGAACCUCAGGUGACAGUUGUAAGGCAGCACAUAGUGAAAAAGAGUCCUAGCCUGGGAAAGUCCAAAACCUUAGGUCUGGUUUCAGUUCACUCACCUAUCUCUGUGACAUAGCAAAGUCUGUUAAUUUCUCUAAUUUUCUGAUUAGUAGUAUAGUUGCAGGAAUGAAAUAAAAAUGGUCCUGAUUACUCAGAGAUUCAUUUACUGAUUACUCUUUUUGUGACCUGAAUAAAGAGUACAACAUCUCUCAAAAGGUAACAAUAUGAUGUUUCAGGAAAUUAGAGAAGUUAAGAGACUUUGCUGUAUUUACUAUACAGAUAGUUGACUGACAGCUGAGCCCGGACCCAAGAUUCAUUUAUAAAAUGAAGGAGUUGAGAAGUACAUACUCUGAGGUUUAUCCUAAAUAAACUGAAGUCUAGGCAAGUGGCUGAGCUAGGUUUGCCAUGAAUCAAUCUGCUGAGUAUAUUUCUUGGUAACUAGUUCAUCUUUCCUUAAUUCAGUCAACAAAUAUGAUAUCAAGUUUAGUAAGAUGAUGACAGUUGUCAUGUAAUACUCCAUCUGGAAGAUUGUAUGCUUCUCAGCUUCCCUAACUUUUCUUAAUCUACCUUAAGCUUCCUUUCUGAAAGGUUUCUGUCUUUCCUAACAGUCUCUUCUUUCCGCCAGCUACCUCUUGUGUUUAAGAAUUAAAGGAAGAUGAGCUAGGAAUCAAGAAAUACGCAGAACUGAUUCCUGUCACUGGCGCCACCCUGCCACUUGCCCAGAGCUGUGGUAUAAAUUUUUUUAAUAGGCUGAAAUAAAAAUAUGAAUAGCAUUUUGGUAUUAAGCAUUAAAUUGAUAAAGGCUAUGAGAUACACCUGCUCUCAACCAUGUUAAUUUUUUAUUAUUGGUAUUAAUAAAUUAUUACUUACUAACAUAUUAACAAGAAUUGCAUUGAGAAACAAAGCAUCCACAGGCCAAAUCUUCUGAAUUUCAAAUGUUUAUAUUAAUGCGUUGUAUUCUAGAAAAGUAGAAUUGUCUUAAGUAGCUUUGUAAUAUAAAGUCAUCUAUCAGCCCAUUACACCUAUUAGAAUGUUUUAACCUUUAUUUCCCACUUUUUUGUUUCUAGACUGAGUGUACUUGGUCUGGUAUUUGUGGCAUAACUUACGGAACACAUAAGAAUGAUACAGAUACUAUUUAAUGAUGACCUAAUACAAGCUUAGAUAGCUAAGGUGAAAGCUUCUAUGGCCUUAACAUUUUCCUCUUGAAGAAUGUAUUUUCUGUAAUAAAAUACAGUGGCUACUUGAAAUCUAUAAACUUAUGUGAGGUCUGGAUAAAUCUGAGCAACUUUCUUCUUUGUGCUCCAGGAACCUACGCACUAUAUAUAUAAAUAAAGCUUAAGUAAACAUCACUGCAAUCUGUGUUUUGUUUGAUUAUAUUACGUAUUGCCUGAUCUUUAAAUAAUGAUGAAAAAUAGCCUUUAACAUAAACCAUGAAUGGAUAUGCACUUGAGGGAAACAGUUUCUUGGAUAAUUAAACUUUAAUUUCUCACCGUGGAUUCCUUGGAUCUUGUAAUAUUUUUUAAAACAGUCCUGGGGAUUUAUUUUUAAGGCGUCCAAAUGAAUUAUUAGUUCUCAAAAGCCAUAGUAUAUUCAUGGGUCGAUAUAUCCUCAAAACACUAUUUUUAAACUGCUUAGUUUAUUUUUCUUAGCGUGCUCAUCUGCUGCAUAAUUUUCUUUGCUAUGUAUGGGUCACAUGCUUCCUCCCGUCCAUAACUCACGCACUUAAAAUUCUCACUUCCUGAUUGAGCCAUCAGAUUACGUAAAAUGUAAAUCAGCCUGAAUACCUAGGAGCAGGAAUUUUAAGGGAGAAAAUGCCGUUUUCUUUUUCUGUGUCAUUAUUAACCCUUAAAUAUCAGAGUGAGUGUCUGCUCACCUAUUUGUAUUUGGAAACGAGAUACUGUUAGGGGUUUUUCUUGGCCCUUCCCUUUCAGAUUGAAUCAGACUUUGCUGCUUUCCUUAUACAAAAUAAUGUACCAACUAGAUAGACGGUGGGAGUGGUAUCGUUGCAGGAAUGAAA
rnacentral:lncRNA from 1 species